rnacentral:rRNA from 1 species
UACGGAGGGUGCGAGCGUUGUCCGGAAUCACUGGGCGUAAAGGGCGCGUAGGCGGGUCUUUAAGUCAGGGGUGAAAUCCUGGAGCUCAACUCCAGAACUGCCUUUGAUACUGAAGAUCUUGAGUUCGGGAGAGGUGAGUGGAACUGCGAGUGUAGAGAUGAAAUUCGUAGAUAUUCGCAAGAACACCAGUGGCGAAGGCGGCUCACUGGCCCGAUACUGACGCUGAGGCACGAAAGCGUGGGGAGCAAACAGG